AAUUUUCAAAAAACUAGCGGCGGGCAUGACGCUUUCCCCUGAUCGGAUCAUUGUUGUUUACAUCACACGAAGAGAGAGUUACAGCUUGUUCUCGGGAGACAGAUCAGUGUGUGUAGAGAGAAAACAUUUUACCAGGUGGAGUCAGGCUUCUUCUUUGUCUUUGGACCACUACACCAACAAGGCAGAAGACGCCAAGUUUGGAUCAAUUAUGCUGAUGCCCCACUAAGAACCUGGAGAUCUUCACUGUUUCUGGGGGAGGUGACGUGGCCACAAACAAUGCGUGGGACACCUUCCAACGCUACCUCUGUCUGCCAGAGGGUGAUCAAGACAUCUUCAACCCCAUUGGAGGAGACGACCCAAGGUUCCUCGCCUCAGACUUCCUCCAAUGGGUUUUGAGAAGGAUUGCAGUUGUAAACAACCAUCAACGAGUCCAUCCUCAGCUCCUCCAUCACUGCAACGGAUUGUCCGGUCUGCUGAGAGGGUCAUUGGCUGCCACCUGCCCUCCUUCGAGGUCCUGCACGACUCCAGGGCAAGGAAGCGUGCAGGAAAGAUCAUUGCCAACCCCUUCCGUCCCCUCUGGCAAACGGUUCAGGUCAAUCACGACCAAAACCUCACACCACCUGAACAGUUUCUUCCCCUUGUGCCAUGGCCCUCAUCCAGCCGGCAACCUGGUCUACGAUGAUCCUGUCAUCCAUGGACUUUGUACUCUGCGCUAUUCAUCCACAGACUAUUCACUGCACUAUCAUCCCAGAACUGCACAUGGCUCUUUGCACUGUCUGCACAUCUCUUACAUGCAUCAUUUAUAAUGUAGCUUAUAGCGCUCACAGUGUACAUACUGUAUGUGAAUCUGUGGAGAUUCUGCAUCUAUAUAUUUUUUGGUCUGUAAAUGUUGUUUAUCGUCUGUCUGUAUAUUGUUUAUUGUGGCAGCACCAUUUCAGUCAUUCCUGUACAUGCAAAUGUAUUUGGCGAAUAAAGCUGAUAUGUUA